CGCGGGAUGGAGCAGUACGUAGCUCGUAGGGCUCAUAACCCGAAGGUCAUCGGUUCGAGUCCGGUGCCCGCUACUA
rnacentral:tRNA from 1 species